rnacentral:rRNA from 1 species
AACGAACGCUUGCGGCAGGCCUAACACAUGCAAGUCGAGCGGACCCUUCGGGGUUAGCGGCGGACGGGUGAGUAACGCGUGGGAAUAUGCCCUUCUCUGCGGAAUAGCCUCGGGAAACUGAGAGUAAUACCGCAUACGCCCUUUGGGGGAAAGAUUUAUCGGGGAAGGAUUAGCCCGCGUUGGAUUAGGUAGUUGGUGGGGUAAUGGCCUACCAAGCCGACGAUCCAUAGCUGGUUUGAGAGGAUGAUCAGCCACACUGGGACUGAGACACGGCCCAGACUCCUACGGGAGGCAGCAGUGGGGAAUCUUAGACAAUGGGGGCAACCCUGAUCUAGCCAUGCCGCGUGAGUGAUGAAGGCCUUAGGGUUGUAAAGCUCUUUCAGCUGGGAAGAUAAUGACGGUACCAGCAGAAGAAGCCCCGGCUAACUCCGUGCCAGCCGCCGCGGUAA